AUAUUAUCGAAUUACAGUUAAACCUUUAUAAAUUAAUACUCGAUAAAUUAAUAAUCUUUACAAAUUAAUAAAUUCUUCCAGUCUCGAGUUGGGACCAGUGUAAAAAGUGACACAAAUCGAUAAAUUAAUAAGAUAAUAACUUUUUUGAAAGUCCUAUGUAAAUAUAUGGUCCCAUCAAUAUCAUAAAUUAAUAAUUGUAUAAAUGUAUCAAUUAUAUAUAUACAUUAU
rnacentral:sRNA from 1 species